rnacentral:rRNA from 1 species
GUUAUAUGGUCAAGCGAAUAAGCGCACACGGUGGAUGCCUUGGCGGUCAGAGGCGAUGAAGGACGUGGCAGCCUGCGAAAAGUAUCGGGGAGCUGGCAACAAGCUUUGAUCCGGUAAUGUCCGAAUGGGGAAACCCACCCGCUUGCGGGUAUCCUGCAGUGAAUACAUAGCUGCUGGAAGCGAACCUGGUGAACUGAAAUAUCUAAGUAACCAGAGGAAAAGAAAUCAACCGAGAUUCCGUAAGUAGCGACGAGCGAACGCGGACUAGCCCUUAAGCUGAUUUGGUUCUAGGAAAACGCUCUGGAAAGAGCGGCCAUAGAAGGUGAUAGCCCUGUAUCUGAAAGGGCCAUUUCAGUGAAGACGAGUAGGGCGGGGCACGUGAAACCCUGUCUGAACAUGGGGGGACCAUCCUCCAAGGCUAAAUACUACUGACCGACCGAUAGUGAACCAGUACCGUGAGGGAAAGGCGAAAAGAACCCCGGAGAGGGGAGUGAAAUAGAUCCUGAAACCGUGUGCGUACAAGCAGUAGGAGCUCCGCAAGGAGUGACUGCGUACCUUUUGUAUAAUGGGUCAGCGACUUACUGUUCGUGGCAAGCUUAACCGUAUAGGGGAGGCGAAGGGAAACCGAGUCUGAUAAGGGCGCAUAGUCGCGGGCAGUAGACCCGAAACCGGGUGAUCUAGUCAUGGCCAGGGUGAAGGUGCCGUAACAGGUACUGGAGGCCCGAACCCACGUCUGUUGCAAAAGACGGGGAUGAGCUGUGAUUAGGAGUGAAAAGCUAAUCGAACCCGGAGAUAGCUGGUUCUCCUCGAAAGCUAUUUAGGUAGCGCCUCAUAUGUAUCCUCUCGGGGGUAGAGCACUGUUAUGGCUAGGGGGUCAUCGCGACUUACCAAACCAUUGCAAACUCCGAAUACCGAGACGGACUGUAUGGGAGACACACGGCGGGUGCUAACGUCCGUCGUGAAAAGGGAAACAACCCAGACCCACAGCUAAGGUCCCAAAUUCACUGCUAAGUGGAAAACCAUGUGGAAAGGCACAGACAGCCAGGAGGUUGGCUUAGAAGCAGCCACCCUUUAAAGAAAGCGUAAUAGCUCACUGGUCGAGUCGGUCUGCGGGGAAGAUUUAACGGGGCUAAGCAGUGAACCGAAGCUUGGGGUGUGCAUAUUUAUAUGUACGCGGUAGAGGAGCGUUCCGUAAGCCGUUGAAGGUGGAUUGAGAAGUCUGCUGGAGGUAUCGGAAGUGCGAAUGCUGACAUGAGUAACGAUAAUGCGGGUGAAAAACCCGCACGCCGAAAGCCCAAGGUUUCCUUGCGCAACGUUAAUCGGCGCAGGGUGAGUCGGCCCCUAAGGCGAGGACGAAAGUCGUAGUCGAUGGGAAGCAGGUUAAUAUUCCUGCACCUCGCGUAAGUGCGAUGGAGGGACGGAGAAGGUUAGGUGUACCAGGCGUUGGUUGUCCUGGGGAAAGGCGGUAGGUUUGGAUCUUUGGCAAAUCCGGGAUCCUUUAAGACCGAGCACCGAGACGAGCCUUUAUGGCGAAGUCACUGAUACCACGCUUCCAGGAAAAGCUCCUAAGCUUCAGCUUACGCAGACCGUACCGUAAACCGACACAGGUGGGUAGGAUGAGAAUUCUCAGGCGCUUGAGAGAACUCGGGUGAAGGAACUAGGCAACAUGGCACCGUAACUUCGGGAGAAGGUGCACCCUUUUUGGUGGCUCGUGCGAGCUAUAGCUGAAGAGGGUCGCAGUAACCAGGCCGCUGCGACUGUUUAUCAAAAACACAGCACUCUGCAAACACGAAAGUGGACGUAUAGGGUGUGACGCCUGCCCGGUGCUGGAAGGUUAAUUGAUGGGGUCAGCCGCAAGGCGAAGCUCUUGAUCGAAGCCCCAGUAAACGGCGGCCGUAACUAUAACGGUCCUAAGGUAGCGAAAUUCCUUGUCGGGUAAGUUCCGACCUGCACGAAUGGCGUAACGACAGCGGCGCUGUCUCCACCCGAGACUCAGUGAAAUUGAAAUCGCUGUGAAGAUGCAGCGUUCCCGUGGCAAGACGGAAAGACCCCGUGAACCUUUACUAUAGCUUUACACUGAACGUUGAGUUCGUCUGUGUAGGAUAGGUGGGAGGCUAUGAAACUGUGGCGCUAGCUGCAGUGGAGCCAUCCUUGAAAUACCACCCUGUCGUGCUUGACGUUCUAACCUGGGCCCAUUAUCUGGGUCGGGGACCGUGUAUGGUGGGUAGUUUGACUGGGGCGGUCUCCUCCUAAAGAGUAACGGAGGAGCUCGAAGGUACGCUCAGCGCGGUCGGACAUCGCGCACUGUGUGCAAAGGCAUAAGCGUGCUUGACUGCAAGAUCGACGGAUCAAGCAGGUAGGAAACUAGGACUUAGUGAUCCGGUGGUUCUGUAUGGAAGGGCCAUCGCUCAACGGAUAAAAGGUACUCCGGGGAUAACAGGCUGAUACCGCCCAAGAGUUCAUAUCGACGGCGGUGUUUGGCACCUCGAUGUCGGCUCAUCACAUCCUGGGGCUGUAGUCGGUCCCAAGGGUAUGGCUGUUCGCCAUUUAAAGUGGUACGCGAGCUGGGUUCAGAACGUCGUGAGACAGUUCGGUCCCUAUCUGCCAUGGGCGUUGGAGAUUUGAGAGGGGCUGCUCCUAGUACGAGAGGACCGGAGUGGACGAACCUCUGGUGUUCCGGUUGUCACGCCAGUGGCAUUGCCGGGUAGCUAUGUUCGGAAGCGAUAACCGCUGAAAGCAUCUAAGCGGGAAGCGCGCCUCAAGAUGAGAUCUCCCGGGGCACAAGCCCCCUGAAGGAACCAUAUAGACUAUGUGGUUGAUAGGUCAGGUGUGUAAGUACAGCAAUGUAUUGAGCUAACUGAUACUAAUGAUCCGUGUGGCUUGACCAUAUAACCU